UUAGUUGGUUAGUUUAUGUUAGUUGGUUAGUUUAUGUUAAUGGUUAGUUUAGAGUUUAGGUUAGCUGGUUAGUUUCAGGCGCUCAGAAAGGAGGGACCACCCAGACCUGACUACUGGAUCAGACAAUAUUUUAUGGAUGUUCAGGCCCACCAACUCCACUUUUAAAUCACUCCAUCCCAUCCUCCCGCUCCUCUUCGCCUGUCUGCCCCCGUUGCCAGGGAAACGGCAGCCCCAGCCCUCCAGUUGUUAAUCUGAUGACAUCGUCUUUCUGUUAUUACCUGCGGGUCAGAUGUCUGAUAGGAGGAAGCCGACGUGGGAAACCAUGGAAAAGUGUCGGCCUUUCUUACGUUGUCUCAGCAUUGAUUUGAAAACAUUUCUUAUAAAAUACGACGUUGAUGUUUUCAUGAUGUCACAUCUGUGUCAGCUUCUUGCAAACUAAAUCAUUUAGAAACCAA